rnacentral:rRNA from 1 species
GUUAUAUGGUCAAGCGAAUAAGCGCACACGGUGGAUGCCUUGGCGGUCAGAGGCGAUGAAGGACGUGGCAGCCUGCGAAAAGUAUCGGGGAGCUGGCAACAAGCUUUGAUCCGGUAAUGUCCGAAUGGGGAAACCCACCCGCUUGCGGGUAUCCUGCAGUGAAUACAUAGCUGCUGGAAGCGAACCUGGUGAACUGAAAUAUCUAAGUAACCAGAGGAAAAGAAAUCAACCGAGAUUCCGUAAGUAGCGACGAGCGAACGCGGACUAGCCCUUAAGCUGAUUUGGUUCUAGGAAAACGCUCUGGAAAGAGCGGCCAUAGAAGGUGAUAGCCCUGUAUCUGAAAGGGCCAUUUCAGUGAAGACGAGUAGGGCGGGGCACGUGAAACCCUGUCUGAACAUGGGGGGACCAUCCUCCAAGGCUAAAUACUACUGACCGACCGAUAGUGAACCAGUACCGUGAGGGAAAGGCGAAAAGAACCCCGGAGAGGGGAGUGAAAUAGAACCUGAAACCGUGUGCGUACAAGCAGUAGGAGCUCCGCAAGGAGUGACUGCGUACCUUUUGUAUAAUGGGUCAGCGACUUACUGUUCGUGGCAAGCUUAACCGUAUAGGGGAGGCGAAGGGAAACCGAGUCUGAUAAGGGCGCAUAGUCGCGGGCAGUAGACCCGAAACCGGGUGAUCUAGUCAUGCCCAGGGUGAAGGUGCGGUAACACGCACUGGAGGCCCGAACCCACUCCCGUUGCAAAGGUAGGGGAUGAGGUGUGAUUAGGAGUGAAAAGCUAAUCGAACCCGGAGAUAGCUGGUUCUCCUCGAAAGCUAUUUAGGUAGCGCCUCAUAUGUAUCCUCUCGGGGGUAGAGCACUGUUAUGGCUAGGGGGUCAUCGCGACUUACCAAACCAUUGCAAACUCCGAAUACCGAGACGGACUGUAUGGGAGACACACGGCGGGUGCUAACGUCCGUCGUGAAAAGGGAAACAACCCAGACCCACAGCUAAGGUCCCAAAUUCACUGCUAAGUGGAAAACCAUGUGGAAAGGCACAGACAGCCAGGAGGUUGGCUUAGAAGCAGCCACCCUUUAAAGAAAGCGUAAUAGCUCACUGGUCGAGUCGGUCUGCGGGGAAGAUUUAACGGGGCUAAGCAGUGAACCGAAGCUUGGGGUGCAUAACUUUGUUAUGCGCGGUAGAGGAGCGUUCCGUAAGCCGUUGAAGGUGGAUUGAGAAGUCUGCUGGAGGUAUCGGAAGUGCGAAUGCUGACAUGAGUAACGAUAAUGCGGGUGAAAAACCCGCACGCCGAAAGCCCAAGGUUUCCUUGCGCAACGUUAAUCGGCGCAGGGUGAGUCGGCCCCUAAGGCGAGGACGAAAGUCGUAGUCGAUGGGAAGCAGGUUAAUAUUCCUGCACCUCGCGUAAGUGCGAUGGAGGGACGGAGAAGGUUAGGUGUACCAGGCGUUGGUUGUCCUGGGGAAAGGCGGUAGGUUUGGAUCUUUGGCAAAUCCGGGAUCCUUUAAGACCGAGCACCGAGACGAGCCUUUAUGGCAAAGUCACUGAUACCACGCUUCCAGGAAAAGCUCCUAAGCUUCAGCUUACGCAGACCGUACCGUAAACCGACACAGGUGGGUAGGAUGAGAAUUCUCAGGCGCUUGAGAGAACUCGGGUGAAGGAACUAGGCAACAUGGCACCGUAACUUCGGGAGAAGGUGCACCCUUUUUGGUGGCUCGUGCGAGCUAUAGCUGAAGAGGGUCGCAGUAACCAGGCCGCUGCGACUGUUUAUCAAAAACACAGCACUCUGCAAACACGAAAGUGGACGUAUAGGGUGUGACGCCUGCCCGGUGCUGGAAGGUUAAUUGAUGGGGUCAGCCGCAAGGCGAAGCUCUUGAUCGAAGCCCCAGUAAACGGCGGCCGUAACUAUAACGGUCCUAAGGUAGCGAAAUUCCUUGUCGGGUAAGUUCCGACCUGCACGAAUGGCGUAACGACAGCGGCGCUGUCUCCACCCGAGACUCAGUGAAAUUGAAAUCGCUGUGAAGAUGCAGCGUUCCCGUGGCAAGACGGAAAGACCCCGUGAACCUUUACUAUAGCUUUACACUGAACGUUGAGUUCGUCUGUGUAGGAUAGGUGGGAGGCUAUGAAACUGUGGCGCUAGCUGCAGUGGAGCCAUCCUUGAAAUACCACCCUGUCGUGCUUGACGUUCUAACCUGGGCCCAUUAUCUGGGUCGGGGACCGUGUAUGGUGGGUAGUUUGACUGGGGCGGUCUCCUCCUAAAGAGUAACGGAGGAGCUCGAAGGUACGCUCAGCGCGGUCGGACAUCGCGCACUGUGUGCAAAGGCAUAAGCGUGCUUGACUGCAAGAUCGACGGAUCAAGCAGGUAGGAAACUAGGACUUAGUGAUCCGGUGGUUCUGUAUGGAAGGGCCAUCGCUCAACGGAUAAAAGGUACUCCGGGGAUAACAGGCUGAUACCGCCCAAGAGUUCAUAUCGACGGCGGUGUUUGGCACCUCGAUGUCGGCUCAUCACAUCCUGGGGCUGUAGUCGGUCCCAAGGGUAUGGCUGUUCGCCAUUUAAAGUGGUACGCGAGCUGGGUUCAGAACGUCGUGAGACAGUUCGGUCCCUAUCUGCCAUGGGCGUUGGAGAUUUGAGAGGGGCUGCUCCUAGUACGAGAGGACCGGAGUGGACGAACCUCUGGUGUUCCGGUUGUCACGCCAGUGGCAUUGCCGGGUAGCUAUGUUCGGAAGCGAUAACCGCUGAAAGCAUCUAAGCGGGAAGCGCGCCUCAAGAUGAGAUCUCCCGGGGCACAAGCCCCCUGAAGGAACCAUGUAGACUACGUGGUUGAUAGGUCAGGUGUGUAAGUACAGCAAUGUAUUGAGCUAACUGAUACUAAUGAUCCGAGAGGCUUGACCAUAUAACCU